rnacentral:rRNA from 1 species
AACGAACGCUGGCGGCAUGCCUAACACAUGCAAGUCGAACGAGACCUUCGGGUCUAGUGGCGCACGGGUGCGUAACACGUGGGAAUCUGCCCUUUGCUUCGGAAUAACAGUUAGAAAUGACUGCUAAUACCGGAUGUUGUCGAAAGACCAAAGAUUUAUCGGCAAAGGAUGAGCCCGCGUAGGAUUAGGUAGUUGGUGGGGUAAAGGCCUACCAAGCCGACGAUCCUUAGCUGGUCUGAGAGGAUGAUCAGCCACACUGGGACUGAGACACGGCCCAGACUCCUACGGGAGGCAGCAGUGGGGAAUAUUGGACAAUGGGCGAAAGCCUGAUCCAGCAAUGCCGCGUGAGUGAUGAAGGCCUUAGGGUUGUAAAGCUCUUUUACCAGGGAUGAUAAUGACAGUACCUGGAGAAUAAGCUCCGGCUAACUCCGUGCCAGCAGCCGCGGUAAUAC